rnacentral:tRNA from 1 species
AAAAUCCGUCGACUUUAAAAAUCGUGAGGGUUCAAGUCCCUCUAUCCCCAACUAUUUCACUCCCCAACUAUUUCACUCCCCAACUAUUUAUCCAACCCC